UGGGGAAUUUUGGACAAUGGGCGAAAGCCUGAUCCAGCAAUGCCGCGUGUGUGAAGAAGGCCUUCGGGUUGUAAAGCACUUUUGUCCGGAAAGAAAUGGCUCUGGUUAAUACCUGGGGUCGAUGACGGUACCGGAAGAAUAAGGACCGGCUAACUACGUGCCAGCAGCCGCGGUAAUACGUAGGGUCCAAGCGUUAAUCGGAAUUACUGGGCGUAAAGCGUGCGCAGGCGGUUGUGCAAGACCGAUGUGAAAUCCCCGAGCUUAACUUGGGAAUUGCAUUGGUGACUGCACGGCUAGAGUGUGUCAGAGGGGGGUAGAAUUCCACGUGUAGCAGUGAAAUGCGUAGAGAUGUGGAGGAAUACCGAUGGCGAAGGCAGCCCCCUGGGAUAAAACUGACGCUCAUGCACGAAAGCGUGGGGAGCAAACAGG
rnacentral:rRNA from 2 species